AAAAAAAAAAAGUUGUUCAUUAAAAAAAACUACAUAUUUUAUGGAUAAUAAAUUGGUAAAUCAAAAGGUUUAAACACCAAAGGCAAAGCCAGGAUUAAGUUAAACAAGGUGUCCCAAGAAUUCCUAACGGUCUUAUCAUACAGCACGGCUUAAGUCCAAACGGUCUUAUCAUAGAACAUUUAAAAGGAGUUUUACGCUUCCUUACCGAUGUUAUUAAACUUGCCCAGAGGUGGCGUUAAACAACGGAUCUCUAGCUUCUGAGCCAAGUGCGCUAACCACUGCGAUAAACGGCUGCUUUUUACUUUAUCUGAUAUUUUAUCAUUGUUUUCGCAGUUAGUUGUUACUUAAUUCAAAAUAGUUGUUGUGAUAUCGCGAG